GACGAACGCUGGCGGCGUGCCUAAUACAUGCAAGUCGAACGCUUCUUUCCUCCCGAGUGCUUGCACUCAAUUGGAAAGAGGAGUGGCGGACGGGUGAGUAACACGUGGGUAACCUACUCAUCAGAGGGGGAUAACACUUGGAAACAGGUGCUAAUACCGCAUAACAGUUUAUGCCGCAUGGCAUAAGAGUGAAAGGCGCUUUCGGGUGUCGCUGAUGGAUGGACCCGCGGUGCAUUAGCUAGUUGGUGAGGUAACGGCUCACCAAGGCCACGAUGCAUAGCCGACCUGAGAGGGUGAUCGGCCACACUGGGACUGAGACACGGCCCAGACUCCUACGGGAGGCAGCAGUAGGGAAUCUUCGGCAAUGGACGAAAGUCUGACCGAGCAACGCCGCGUGAGUGAAGAAGGUUUUCGGAUCGUAAAACUCUGUUGUUAGAGAAGAACAAGGACGUUAGUAACUGAACGUCCCCUGACGGUAUCUAACCAGAAAGCCACGGCUAACUACGUG
rnacentral:rRNA from 1 species